AUUGAACGCUGGCGGCAGGCCUAACACAUGCAAGUCGAGCGGAUGAAGGGAGCUUGCUCCUGGAUUCAGCGGCGGACGGGUGAGUAAUGCCUAGGAAUCUGCCUGGUAGUGGGGGAUAACGUCCGGACACGGGCGCUAAUACCGCAUCCGUCCUGAGGGUGAAAGUGGGGGAUCUUCGGACCUCACGCUAUCAGAUGAGCCUAGGUCGGAUUAGCUAGUUGGUGGGGUAAAGGCCUACCAAGGCGACGAUCCGUAACUGGUCUGAGAGGAUGAUCAGUCACACUGGAACUGAGACACGGUCCAGACUCCUACGGGAGGCAGCAGUGGGGAAUAUUGGACAAUGGGCGAAAGCCUGAUCCAGCCAUGCCGCGUGUGUGAAGAAGGUCUUCGGAUUGUAAAGCACUUUUAGUUGGGAGGAAGGGCAGUAAGUUAAUACCUUGCUGUUUUGACGUUACCAACAGAAUAAGCACCGGCUAACUUCGUG
rnacentral:rRNA from 1 species